rnacentral:lncRNA from 14 species
UUCUUUCAUGGAGGAUCAGUUGCAGGUGACUGAGUCUAAAAGGAGCAGAUGUGAAAGAUCAGGCUUGGCAUUGAACUCCCACAACGUGAUGAGUCAUAUGGAGCUGGUUAUUUCCUAGUGAAUAGCAAGAAGCAAGCAAAAAAUUAUCAUUUGAAUACAACCACCCGCAUGAUAUGAUGGCUUGAAUAGAAGAAAGGUGGACAUUAGACUUGAAGUGAACAAAAUGGUCAUUUUUUCUUUGCUAAUCUGCUCUGACUUCUGUUUUUCCAACCAUAUUGACACAGUGCUGUACUAUGAUUGACAUUGUCCAGAAAGACAUGCUCAAGGUGAGCAAUAGUAGACAAG